CAAACGGCCUCUCUAAAGGCCACUCAUAUUUGCAAUGAAGAUGCCG
rfam:Ixodes scapularis strain Wikel colony gcontig_1108378719902, whole genome shotgun sequence.